CCUACGGGAGGCAGCAGUGGGGGAUAUUGCACAAUGGGGGAAACCCUGAUGCAGCGACGCCGCGUGUGGGAAGACGGUCCUCUGGAUUGUAAACCACUGUCCCCAGGGACGAAGAUGACGGUACCUGGGGAGGAAGCUCCGGCUAACUACGUGCCAGCAGCCGCGGUAAUACGUAGGGAGCGAGCGUUGUCCGGAAUUACUGGGUGUAAAGGGAGCGUAGGCGGGACUGCAAGUUGGGUGUCAAAUCUACGGGCUCAACCGGUAGCCGCACUCAAAACUGCAGUUCUUGAGUGAAGUAGAGGCAGGCGGAAUUCCUAGUGGAGCGGUGAAAUGCGUAGAUAUUAGGAGGAACACCAGUGGCGAAGGCGGCCUGCUGGGCUGUGACUGACGCUGAGGCUCGAAAGUGUGGGGAGCAAACAGGAUUAGAUACCCCGGUAGUC
rnacentral:rRNA from 1 species